GACGAACGCUGGCGGCGUGCCUAAUACAUGCAAGUCGAGCGAGCGGAACCAACAGAUUUACUUCGGUAAUGACGUUGGGAAAGCGAGCGGCGGAUGGGUGAGUAACACGUGGGGAACCUGCCCCUAAGUCUGGGAUACCAUUUGGAAACAGGUGCUAAUACCGGAUAAUAAAGCAGAUCGCAUGAUCAGCUUUUGAAAGGCGGCGUAAGCUGUCGCUAAGGGAUGGCCCCGCGGUGCAUUAGCUAGUUGGUAAGGUAACGGCUUACCAAGGCGACGAUGCAUAGCCGAGUUGAGAGACUGAUCGGCCACAUUGGGACUGAGACACGGCCCAAACUCCUACGGGAGGCAGCAGUAGGGAAUCUUCCACAAUGGACGCAAGUCUGAUGGAGCAACGCCGCGUGAGUGAAGAAGGUUUUCGGAUCGUAAAGCUCUGUUGUUGGUGAAGAAGGAUAGAGGUAGUAACUGGCCUUUAUUUGACGGUAAUCAACCAGAAAGUCACGGCUAACUACGUGCCAGCAGCCGCGGUAAUACGUAGGUGGCAAGCGUUGUCCGGAUUUAUUGGGCGUAAAGCGAGCGCAGGCGGAAUGAUAAGUCUGAUGUGAAAGCCCACGGCUCAACCGUGGAAC
rnacentral:rRNA from 1 species